rnacentral:rRNA from 1 species
AGACCCGAAACCCGGUGAUCUAGCCAUGGGCAGGUUGAAGGUUGGGUAACACUAACUGGAGGACCGAACCGACUAAUGUUGAAAAAUUAGCGGAUGACCUGUGGCUGGGGGUGAAAGGCCAAUCAAACCGGGAGAUAGCUGGUUCUCCCCGAAAGCUAUUUAGGUAGCGCCUCGUGAAUUCAUCUCCGGGGGUAGAGCACUGUUUCGGCUAGGGGGCCAUCCCGGCUUACCAACCCGAUGCAAACUGCGAAUACCGGAGAAUGUUAUCACGGGAGACACACGGCGGGUGCUAACGUCCGUCGUGAAGAGGGAAACAACCCAGACCGCCAGCUAAGGUCCCAAAGUCAUGGUUAAGUGGGAAACGAUGUGGGAAGGCCCAGACAGCCAGGAUGUUGGCUUAGAAGCAGCCAUCAUUUAAAGAAAGCGUAAUAGCUCACUGGUCGAGUCGGCCUGCGCGGAAGAUGUAACGGGGCUAAACCAUGCACCGAAGCUGCGGCAGCGAACGUAUCACCCAAGACAACUUUACGGAGUUGACGAUUGACGGAGCGAAGCGACGUCAAAGCGUUCAUUAAAGUCGAGUUGGCUU